rnacentral:tRNA from 6 species
GGCGGAUGUAGCCAAGUGGAUUAAGGCA